CGAGGGUGAUGAUAGCAAAGCAAACAUGGCGGCCUCUAUUGGAAAGACAUCCUAAGAAUUUGUGGACAGUUGAUGGCAUUGGGAAAAACUCAUCAAUGAUGCAUUUGCAAACUUUAAGAGGUGCUUUGUGGAAAUAAAUCCAAUGCCUGGGUCCAAGACAUAAAAGAUGAUUUUUAUUAUUUGUAAAUGUUGCGAUUUGUAAUACAUUUGUUAUGUUGUAUAUAUGUAUUUGUGAAUUAUUUUGUAUUGCUCAAAUUCUAAAAUAAACAAGAUCUCCACGUAAGGUUUCUUAUUUUUUCUGUGUUUAAAAUAUUUUCAAUAAUAGAGAGCUUGGAUUAAACUGUCAUUUGGGAGGUAAAACUCAGUACCAGCAAAUUUUACAUUAUUGUCAUCUACUGUACUUAAGUUUUUUUUUUUUUUUUUUUUUUUGUACAAGCUUGCUUAUUUGGUUGGAACUCGAAAAAUAGAGCUCGAGUAAAAUGUAAAAUUUCAGCAUUUCCCUAAUGCUGGUAUGGAAUUCAAAAAUUAUUUUUUCACAUAGCUCAAAAAAUCAUUUCUGCGGGUAUACCUUCCCAUAGUA